GGGAGACACACGGCGGGUGCUAACGUCCGUCGUGAAGAGGGAAACAACCCAGACCGCCAGCUAAGGUCCCAAAGUCAUGGUUAAGUGGGAAACGAUGUGGGAAGGCACAGACAGCCAGGAUGUUGGCUUAGAAGCAGCCAUCAUUUAAAGAAAGCGUAAUAGCUCACUGGUCGAGUCGGCCUGCGCGGAAGAUGUAACGGGGCUAAACCAUGCACCGAAGCUGCGGCAGCGACACUAUGUGUUGUUGGGUAGGGGAGCGUUCUGUAAGCCUGCGAAGGUGUGCUGUGAGGCAUGCUGGAGGUAUCAGAAGUGCGAAUGCUGACAUAAGUAACGAUAAAGCGGGUGAAAAGCCCGCUCGCCGGAAGACCAAGGGUUCCUGUCCAACGUUAAUCGGGGCAGGGUGAGUCGACCCCUAAGGCGAGGCCGAAAGGCGUAGUCGAUGGGAAACAGGUUAAUAUUCCUGUACUUGGUGUUACUGCGAAGGGGGGACGGAGAAGGCUAUGUUAGCCGGGCGACGGUUGUCCCGGUUUAAGCAUGUAGGCUGGUUAUCCAGGCAAAUCCGGAUAAUCAAGGCUGAGGUGUGAUGACGAGGCACUACGGUGCUGAAGUAACAAAUGCCCUGCUUCCAGGAAAAGCCUCUAAGCAUCAGGUAACAUCAAAUCGUACCCCAAACCGACACAGGUGGUCAGGUAGAG
rnacentral:rRNA from 1 species